rnacentral:rRNA from 1 species
GUGAAGGUGGGGUCGGUGCCGGGGCCAGACGGCUUGCCGGUGGCUCUCUUCAGAUUCUGGAAUGUCCUGAAACUAGUGAUCAUGCCGAUGUUCCAUGAAUUCUAUAUUGGGACUUUCGACAUGUCUUGAAUAUUUGGCAUCAUUACCCUGAUCCCGAAAGUAGUUGGGGCUAUGGACAUUAGACACUUCAGACCUAGCAUGAUGAUUAGCGUACUUGAAUGCAUCUUCUCCAAAGUCUGCAUGGCACGACUAGCCCCUGCAGUGGAGCGGCUGGAUCAUCCCCUCCAAACAGUGUUUCUGAAGGGGCGACGGAUCCAUGACGGGAUCCUGUCCUUCACGAUAUUGUCCAUGAGGUUAAGACACACGGACAUAAGGGCAUUUUCCUCAAGUUGGACUUCCAGAAGGCCUAUGAUCGUCUAGAUUGGUCCAUCUUGCGGUUAG